UCCAACCAGAGCCAACACAUUAACAAUUUAAUCAUCGUUAACGGUCGCCAUGGCUGUUGUUAUUUUUCUUCCCGCUUGCGCGUAUCAGGACGCAGAACAGUGACGUUUGUCGAGUGUCACUGACGUUCUGGUCGGAUUAAUGCGACCUGAACGUUCAGAUUCAGCUGAGCCCUCGAACACAUCAGGCCUGCAGAUCACAUGACCGAACAACAUCCAAAUCCUGCCUGGAUCAAGUGACUUGGCCGCAGCAGCAAAGAAGCAAUCACAUGAGUAUUUUUAACACAGAAAAGGAAAGCCUAAUAAAAAUGAACAAUACCAAUCAGUUAAUGCGAUGUUGUGACUGGAGAGGUAAACAAUUUAGAAGAAAAAAUAUAUUUACCCUGUUCUGAUUGCAGUGCUGACAAUGAAGCAGAGCAGAAAUUAAUUCACAAACAUAAAAAAAUGGUUUGAUAAUAACAGAUUGUCCUAAAAUAUUGGUAAAAUGAAGUUUAUGAUGUUUUGUAGCA